rnacentral:rRNA from 1 species
AUUGAACGCUGGCGGCAUGCCUUACACAUGCAAGUCGAACGGUAACAGGUCUUCGGAUGCUGACGAGUGGCGAACGGGUGAGUAAUACAUCGGAACGUGCCUAGUAGUGGGGGAUAACUACUCGAAAGAGUGGCUAAUACCGCAUGAGAUCUAAGGAUGAGAGCAGGGGAUCGCAAGACCUUGUGCUACUAGAGCGGCCGAUGGCAGAUGAGGUUAGUUGGUGGGAUAAAAGCUUACCAAGCCGACGAACUGUAGCUGGGCUGAGAGGACGAUCGGCCACACUAGGACUAAGACGCGGACCAGACUCCUACGUGAGGCAGCAGUGGGGAAUUUUGGACAAUGGGCGAAAGCCUGAACCAGCACGGCCGCGUGCAAGAUGAAGGCCUUCGUGUUGUAAACUGCUUUUGUACGGAACGAAAAGCCCCGGGUUAAUACCCUGGUGUCAUGACGGUACCGUAAGAAUAAGCACCGGCUAACUACGUGCCAGCAACCGCAGUAA